UACGAAGGGUGCUAGCGUUGUUCGGAAUUACUGGGCGUAAAGCGCGCGUAGGCGGCUUUUCAAGUCAGGGGUGAAAUCCCACAGCUCAACUGUGGAACUGCCUCUGAAACUGUAAAGCUUGAGUGUCGGAGGGGAUAGCGGAAUUGCUAAUGUAGAGGUGAAAUUCGUAGAUAUUAGCAGGAGCACCGGUGGCGAAGGCGGCUAUCUGGACGACAACUGACGCUGAGGCGCGAAAGCGUGGGGAUCAAACAGG
rnacentral:rRNA from 1 species